GUACCCUUAGCUUAGUUGGUCAGAGCCAUCGGCUCAUAACCGAUAGGUCGUAGGUUCGAAUCCUACAGGGUACA
rnacentral:tRNA from 1 species